GCCAGGUAUGGUGGCGCACGCCUGUAAUCCCAGCAGCUUGGGAGGCUGAGGCAGGAGGCUCCCGAGUUCAAAGCCAGCCUCAGCAAUUUAGCGAGACCCUAAGCAAAUCAGUGAGACCCUGUCUUUA
rnacentral:sRNA from 1 species